ACGGGUGAGUAACGCGUGGAUAACCUGCCUUAAUGACCGGGGAUAAACACCGGGAAACUGGUGCUAAUACGGGAUACGCUCAAGUGAACACAUGUUUGUUUGAGGAAAAGGAGCAAUCCGGCAUUAAGAUGGGUCCGCGUCCCAUUAGCUAGUUGGAGGUGUAAGAGACCCCCAAGGCGACGAUGGGUAGCCGGCCUGAGAGGGUGAACGGCCACACUGGAACUGAGACACGGUCCAGACUCCUACGGGAGGCAGCAGUGGGGAAUCUUCCGCAAUGGGCGGAAAAAGCCUGACGGAGCAACGCCGCGUGAAUGAUGAAGGCCUUCGGGUUGUAAAAUUCUGUCUUCAGGGAAGAAACAAAUGACGGUACCUGAGGAGGAAGCCCCGGCUAACUACGUGCCAGCCGCGGC
rnacentral:rRNA from 1 species